AACGAACGCUGGCGGCAUGCCUAACACAUGCAAGUCGAACGAGAUCUUCGGAUCUAGUGGCGCACGGGUGCGUAACACGUGGGAAUCUGCCCUUGGGUUCGGAAUAACUCUCCGAAAGGAGUGCUAAUACCGGAUGAUGUCGAAAGACCAAAGAUUUAUCGCCCAGGGAUGAGCCCGCGUAGGAUUAGCUAGUUGGUGAGGUAAAGGCUCACCAAGGCGACGAUCCUUAGCUGGUCUGAGAGGAUGAUCAGCCACACUGGGACUGAGACACGGCCCAGACUCCUACGGGAGGCAGCAGUGGGGAAUAUUGGACAAUGGGCGAAAGCCUGAUCCAGCAAUGCCGCGUGAGUGAUGAAGGCCUUAGGGUUGUAAAGCUCUUUUACCCGGGAUGAUAAUGACAGUACCGGGAGAAUAAGCCCCGGCUAACUCCGUGCCAGCAGCCGCCGCGGUAA
rnacentral:rRNA from 1 species